UGAUACUAAGCCAUGCGAGUCAUUGUAGCAAUACAAGGCAUACGGCUCAGUAACGCGUAGUCAACCUAACCUAUGGACGGGAAUAACCUCGGGAAACUGAGAAUAAUGCCCGAUAGAACAUUAUGCCUGGAAUGGUUUAUGUUCCAAAUGAUUUAUCGCCGUAGGAUGGGACUGCGGCCUAUCAGUUUGUUGGUGAGGUAAUGGCCCACCAAGACUAUUACAGGUACGGGCUCUGAGAGGAGUAGCCCGGAGAUGGGUACUGAGACACGGACCCAGGCCCUAUGGGGCGCAGCAGGCGAGAAAACUUUGCAAUGUGCGAAAGCACGACAAGGUUAAUCCGAGUGGUUUCUGCUAAAGGAACCUUUUGUCAGUCCUAGAAACACUGAUGAAUAAGGGGUGGGCAAGUUCUGGUGUCAGCCGCCGCGGUAAAACCAGCACCUCAAGUGGUCAGGAUGAUUAUUGGGCCUAAAGCAUCCGUAGCCGGCUCUGUAAGUUUUCGGUUAAAUCUGUGCGCUCAACGUACAGGCUGCCGGGAAUACUGCAAAGCUAGGGAGUGGGAGAGGUAGACGGUACUCGGUAGGAAGGGGUAAAAUCCUUUGAUCUAUUGAUGACCACCUGUGGCGAAGGCGGUCUACCAGAACACGUCCGACGGUGAGGGAUGAAAGCUGGGGGAGCAAACCGGAUUAGAUACCCGGGUAGUCCCAGCUGUAAACCAUGCAAACUCAGUGAUGCAUUGGCUUGUGGCCAAUGCAGUGCUGCAGGGAAGCCGUUAAGUUUGCCGCCUGGGAAGUACGUACGCAAGUAUGAAACUUAAAGGAAUUGGCGGGGGAGCACCACAAGGGGUGAAGCCUGCGGUUCAAUUGG
rnacentral:rRNA from 1 species